rnacentral:rRNA from 1 species
AACGAACGCUGGCGGCAUGCCUAACACAUGCAAGUCGAACGAGAGCUUCGGGUCUAGUGGCGCACGCGUGCGUAACGCGGGGGAACCUGCCCUUAGGUUCGGAAUAACACCCCGAAAGGGGGGCUAAUACCGGGUAAUGUAUGCGGACAAAAGAUUUAUCGCCUUUGUAUGGGCCCGCGUUGGAUUAGCUAGUUGGUAGGGUAAAAGCCUAUCAAGGAGACGAUCCAUAGCGGGGCUGAGAGGAUGAGAAGCCACACUGGGAGUGAGCCACGGCCCAGACUACUACGGGAGGCAGCAGUGGGGGAUAUUGGAAAAUCGGCGAAGGCCUGAUGCACCUAUGCCGGGUGAGUGAUGAAGGUCUUAGGGUUGUAAAGCUCUUUUACCCGGGAUGAUAAUGACGGUACCGGGAGAAUAAGCUCCGGCUAACUUCGUG